AAAAAAAAAAUCUUCAUCAAGAUUAACGUGUGAAAGAAGCCGUUUUCAGAGGACUGGACACUAUUCUUAACUCAGCCCCAUCUAACAAAUAGAGAAUGUGCGAGAUGAAACCCCAAGAAAUACUAUCUAGAGGAGGGAACCUUGGUUACCCCAGUAACAUGUGGUGACCCAGAUGGGCCCCGAGGAACGACCUCUAAAGACUACAGGGGUGCCGUGACUCAGAAAACAUCAGUCACACUCAAGAAGAGGAAAGGGGUAGGGGUGAGCAACCCCUCUGUUCACCCUUGUCCACUCUCCUUGUGAAGACAUCUCAGGUAACAUUUAGUACUGUAUAAACCCCUACAUUAAGAUGUCUCCAGAGAGCCACCAUAAGCCACACCAGGCUUUCUAUGCACCCACCGUCUGAAGACUCCACAUUGCUCUCAACCCGAUUUCGUUAAAACUUGCCUGCCUUAUUUAUUCACAUUCACAUGAACUGCCGCCCAGUGACCUGGAGACACAGCUCUGUUUCCUGCAAAGCUAAUUGGGCGACUCGGGGAAAUAAUCAAGCUUCCAUUGUGCCUCUCAGCAGCAAGCAUGCCAAAGCAAAUCCAUGUCUCUACCGGUCUGAUGGGUGGCACGCCCUUGGCUGGUUCAUGGUUCUGACUGAUUCCUUUGUGUUCCUGGAGUCCGUGCCCCAGCAUGCCAGGAGGGCUAGUCCCCUUCCGAAUCAAUCAGUCCACUGGUGCUAAGUGAGGUCAUCUUACCUGGCAUCUAGAGUUUCUGCCCCAGUGACAAGGGAGAUGAAAUCACUGUCUCCAGAUGCAGAGCAAGAGCCGCCAGGAAAGGUUGUGGGAUCGUCUUGUAGAGAGAUGGGAUCCUGGGAGUCUAUGCCAGGAGCAGCGUGCGGACCAAUGCUCUCACCGGCACGUGUGCUCACUUCCUAAGGCUCCCAAACAGCAGGAUGUAGCCUUCUGGAUCCUUCCUUAGUUUUCCUUUACGUUUUAGCCCCUUUGUCUCGUUAUAUGGUAGCAUGUGUCCAGGUUGCAUGGGCUGCUCUCUCUCGUGUGCAGUGGAUACCGACUAUGCCAGGCUGCUUUCCCUUUCUUCUGGGAGGGCCCUCCCACACAAUCAGGUCUCGUCUUGUAAGACUGUCCAUCGAUGCCCCAUGGUAUCGUUUAGGGAUCCUGGAUAAUUUCUCUGCAACCUGUGAGUGUGAUAGGAGGGCGUCUGAUAGCCUCCUCUAGUCAAGGAACACAGAAGGUUGGGCUGAAGAGGGACAAGUUGGAGCUGGGAGAAGAAAUCUUUCGGACAGAGUGUGUGUUCCAUAGAUGGUAAGAAAAUAAAAUAAAAUAAAAUAAAAUAAAAUAAAAUAAAACAAAAGGGAAAAAACCCUCAUGUUUACAUUUGGCCCCAGCAUUUAAGAGGUCAGGCCUUAGCUUCAGGUAAGCCUCACAGUGUUGAAUUGAGCCAAGCUCAUGAUAUCCUACACCUGGGCAGCAUUUCCUCAUCAAGAAAAUGAUAACAACUGAAAAUAAAUACUAAAAAAUAUGAAUAGCAUCUUACAUUUAACUUUGGAGUUUGAAACUUUAAAUUAAUAUUAGAGUAUAUGUACAGAUAGAAACGCCAAGCCUCAUCUUUGACACACUUUAAACAAUUGACUGAGCUCCUUAUGAGCUAUGAAUGUGAAGAAGAACAUGGAGGGAUAUCUCAGAAGGUUUGGAUGGAGGAAAGAGAAAAAAGAAAUGAUGUAGUGAGAGCCUCAAAAAUAAAAGGAAACACUUUAAAAGAAUAGUACUGCAUAAGACCUCUUUACUAAAAGGAAUCUGUGUCUGAGUUACACACAUAGGACAGUAUGUCAAUAUCCUGUUAAACUACAGGACUAGAAACUAAAACCAUAAACUAAAGUUCCCAGGUAAACCUUACAGAAAGCACAAGACAGCCUUUGUCCAGUACACAGAGAAGCAUGGAAGCCACUGUUGGUGAUUGGCAGAGACAUUUGUAUAGUGCUAUUGGCCAAAAGCUGCGGUUAAUCUCGACGUUAAUGUUCUAUUCAGGGAGUCCAUGGCUCCCAAGUUCCACUAUUUUCUGAAGUAAACACCUCAACCCUACUCCUUUUGCAAACACUUGAGCCGAAAUAAUAUAGAUAACUUGAUUAAAAGAAACUCAAACAAGGGAAUAAUUUUAGAUGUGUAAGCCCCAACCCAUCUUACCAGAAGAAAUAAAGGCAAUGUUGUUCUUCCAGAUUUUUACUAAUUCUGUAGAAACAGCUGAGAGCAAGUUGGAAAAAUCCCAGAGAAUUCAAAAGAUUGAUUAUUAUAAAUAUGCUCAAAUCAAAUAAUAAGAUUAUCUCCUAAUCAAAAAUACAAAGCAGAGAACAAAAGAUGAAGAAAAAAAUAAAAUUCAGCAAAGAUAUAGAAAUGCUGAAUGAAAAAAAAAAACACUAAAUGUCUGAAAUUAAACCAUAGUGCACCAAGUAAAACUCUGUGGGAAGUCUUCGAGUUAAUGUGACUCAAAGGGCAGAGGAUGCGGGACUGAAGACACGGUGAAGGGACUGGCGUAGGUCUACAAGGACGAAGAACUUAAGAAUAAGAUUCCAAGACACAGCCAACUCUACGAAAAGAGCCAAGUCUACAGGCCAGGGGCAAAUCAAUAUGAGAAGAGAAUCCUGCUCUAAAAGCUUGGGAAACGUUUUCAAAAGAAUCAUAACCAAAAUUUCCAAGACUUAGAAAAAUAGAUAUUCAAAAUUAGAUAUCUAGAUAUUAAAAAAAAUAUUUAGAACAACAAACAGAGAAGACUAGAAGUACACGUGUGCCAUAUCACACUUUAAACACUAAACAUACAGAGCAAAGAACGGGCAUUGAAGUCACAUCUAAAGUCACACAUAAGGGGCAGGCCCAUUGGUGACGGCAGGUUUGCCAACAGAAAGGGCCUAAGGGGCUUGGAAAGACUUAUUUCCAAUUUUGAAUGAAGAAUAGCCAGCCCAGGCUACUCCACCCAGAAAAUCUAUGCCACAGUAGAAGAGCUGAAACCCUUCUUUCAUAAGAAUAGGCUGAAGGAAUUUGUGGCCACUAAGGUACCACAACGAAACCCUAGAAUUUUUUGUCUGAAGUGAAGAAUGAAAUGGAAUCGCUAGGCCUCAGGAAAAACCAUAACCCAUAAUAGAAUGAUAUUGAUACAAGGGACAGAAACUCCAACGUCCACAGAGACCAUACACAGCUUUCAGCAAUUAUUCUGAGUAUUAACAGUCUCACUUAGAUGACGGAAUUGAAAAGCAAGAGUCAGCUAGGCCUCUUCUUGAAGAAAUGAAUCUCACCAUAAAAGACAACUAUUACUUCAGGAUGAAAGGAUGGGGGGAAAAAUGUAAUGGCUACGGUAAGUUCUCAUGCCUGACAACAGACAUGAGAGGAGAGACACGGUUGUUCAUUUCAUACUGAUGAAGGGAACAAUCCAGAGCUGUGCCCAACUCCAUAAAACACAUACUACUAGAUGUCGUUAAGGCCUAGAUGGAAAGUUAAGGUCUAGAUGGAAAGUUAAGGCCUAGGUAAUGGAUACCUGGCUUGCCUGCCACUGUAAGGAAACUUUCUCAUGUGUUUCUGCUGUUACUAGGAAACUUUCUAAUGCCAAAACUGAUUAUAUAUUCUGUUAUAUUGUAUGUCCUUAUGAAGCCAUUCACAAUGGAAGCUAGCAGAAGUAUUUUGUGUAGUUACCCACAAUAAGCUUGGAUGUAAACCAACCACACACUUCCUGCACCUACGCAUAAGCUUUUGUGGGAUACGCUGUCCCUGGGAUAGAUCCCAACAUAGGAGAAACACUUGCACUGAUAUAAGAAACCAUUUGGAAUACAACAUCCAAGUAGUUGAGUAAAGUUUAAGUUCCCAAGACCUCCCUAGGAACUGGCAUCCUAUUUGGCAGAAAGACAUGGACAUCGUUAACUGACAUUCUGUUCGGCAAAUCAAGACCUGAAUGUUACACGAGUCCCAUCCUGAUAGACAAGUUAGGACAUGAAUAUUAGACAAGUUUCCUGCCACAGUUGAAUACGCCAACCAAUGGAAGCAGGAUUAAGUGUACAGUAAAGACUUGUUCCUAAGGAAAUCCCUAAAUCCUGAUGAGUAAAAUAACUUGUCACGUGUUCAUCUCACAGAUCUCAGGCUUUGAAAGUAUUGUAGGAGCUUAACUAGGGGUUGUGGUUCUGCUCCCGAGCCUGAAUCAUGUCUCUGAUCAAUCAAUCUUGGGGUGUGGUAUUCGAUAAACCAUGCCUAGUUGACUGAGAUCAGUGUUUUGAGCAGCGAUUCCUGGACACCAAUUGCAGAUGUAAAAUUACAGAUUAACCUUGGUACAACAGUAGGAAACAGCUUUACUACUCCACUCUCUUCUUCCAGAAAGAAAACAGAGAAAUGGCAAAUUAAGUAACAUCAUGGCUGAAAUGGACCCAACUGGACAUCUACAGAUCUCUCUACACAAACAUUGAAGAAUACGCAUUCUCCUCAGAAGCCCAUGGAAUUUUUCUCCAAAAAGAACAUGUGUUCAGGACUUUUAUUAUAAAGCCAUGUCUAGUUUUUCAUCAAAGAUUUUCUGCAUCUACUGAGGUGACUAUGUGAUUAUUUUGUCCUUGUAUCCAUUUAGGCAAUUCAUAUUAUUUAUCAGUUUAUAAAUAAAUAUUAAACCAUCCCUCCGUAUUUGGAAUAAAGCCAACUUGGUUGGGAUGAA